UACGUAGGCAGCAAGCGUUGUUCGGAAUUACUGGGCGUAAAGAGUGUGUAGGCGGUGUUCCAAGUCUGGUGUGAAAUCUCCCGGCUUAACUGGGAGGGUGCAUUAGAAACUGGAAUGCUAGAGGAUGGGAGAGGUAAGCGGAAUUCCUGGUGUAGCGGUGAAAUGCGUAGAUAUCAGGAGGAACACCAGUGGCGAAGGCGGCGACCUGGACGGACACUGACGCUGAGACGCGAAAGCGUGGGGAGCAAACAGG
rnacentral:rRNA from 1 species